AGCCUGUACCAAGCCCCAAAGCCAGAUAUUAGAAUAACUUAAUCAAUCCGCUUCCUUCCGAAUCCCCAACCAGCGAAAAACUAGAGCACCAAAGCUGGCUUCAGGCAUCUGGAAACGCCUAUUCCCACCGCGAACCAGAAGACCUGCCCCGAUAAUCCCCGAUUUCAGGUUAAAUCGCAGCUUUAUUCCGGGAAUGGAUAUCAACGUAUUCAAAUUAUGCUCUGGUCUCAAAGUUCUCGGCUACUUGAUGAUACUUCUCGUCGUCGGCAUAAUUGCCGUCUCCUACUACGCGGUUGUGGUUAUUACUUGGGGCCCGAAGUUGUUUCGGGGCGGUUUCCACUCUUGCUUGGCCAUGUUGAUGGUUAUAGUGUUUCAUAUUCUGCUUGUACUGUUGUUAUGGUGCUAUUUUAAAGUAGUAUUCAAGGACCCUGGUUCAGUCCCUGAGAACUGGAGGCCAAUGCGGUUGGAGGAGAAUUUGGAGGGAGGUAGCUGUAUCCAUGAGUCGGAUUAUGGAGCAACUGAGAAUUUGGGUUCUACAUGGUCUGCGUCUGAUGGGUUGGACAGGAAAGAUGUGGGCUAUUGCAAUCACUGCAAGAACGGCAAGCCUCCACGUUGCCAUCAUUGCUCUGUUUGCCAAAGAUGUGUUCUGAAGAUGGAUCACCAUUGUGUUUGGGUGGUCAAUUGUGUUGGAGCUCGUAACUACAAGUUUUUUCUUCUUUUCUUGCUGUACACAUUUUUGGAGACAACAAUGAAUACUCUAGUAUUAUUGCCUAGUUUUAUCAAGUUCUUUGAUGAAGCCAAAAAUCAUUCCAGCUCCCCUGCCAAUCUAGCAGUAACAUUUUUGGCUUUUGAUUGUGUACCUUGAUGCAGUUCUUAAUUUGGCUUUUUCCCUCAGUCUUCUAUGUUUCGUAUGUAUGCAUGCAUCUCUUCUAUCAAGCAACACAACAUCUAUAGAGGUUUAUGAGAAGAAAGGAGUAGCUAGGUGGAAGUAUGACUUAGGCAGGAAGCAGAAUUUUGAACAGGUUUUUGGCACAAAGAAGGCAUUGUGGUUUGUUCCACUGUUCUCCAAGGAUGAUUUAGACAGUAUACCUGCUCUUCAUGGCCUAGAUUUCCCAACACGCUCUGAUGUUGAGGCUUGAGGCUUGGUUCUCUGAAUCUGCUGGAUUCAUGUAUUUUCAAGGCAUUGAAUGUGAAAGAAAGCGUUGGAAAUUUUUGAUGUAGAAGCUUUGUAAAAUGGGGAUGCCAACAGAAGACAAAUGUGUGAAUUAUCAAAAGAAAGCUUGCUUUAUCAGAUGACAGUAACUGAUUUCUCAAUUAUUUCAUUGACAUGACAUUGCAAAAUUUACUUGUAUACUCUUUUCCUUUUGGAUGAAUGUAACUAAUGAAUGAAUUUGUGGCGUCAUCAAACUGUGUGUCCUCUUUCUUAACCUAUCUCCAAUGUCCAAAGAUUCAUCUCGAUUCCUGAGUAUGAUUGAAAGACUCCAUUCAUUUAUCUUAUCAAAAUGAAGUAUAUCUGUUAUCGUUUUGCUUGA